GUUAAAAAUCUUUUUAUCUACUGUAUUGACUUUUAUGAACCUUGAAUUACCAUGUGUGUUGACUCUUUCAGGUUGCUGUUCAAUAUCUUUACUUCUUGGUUUUUGAUUCAUUGCUUCAAAAUCUGGAUAUUUGCCUGAAGCUUUUGUUCUUGUUCUUUAAUAUUUGUUAUUGCGUAUUAGUUGUGGUGUCUGGUAGGAAGCUUUGGUUUUUUCUUAUUCUGCCUUGCAGAUACUGAAAUUUAUUUUAUUUUUUUAUUUUUAUCUUCUUUGCAGUGUGCCUUUAAAUAUUCUUAUUGUUUCCAAAUUAUUCCAUAUGUUUGUUGGUGGUGUUCUUAUUAGACCUUUUCUGACCUUCAACCAAUCCAUUGUAUCCGGUUCUGCAAGCUCUUUGUGAUAUGAAAAUCCUGCAAGUAGAUAUAGAUGAAAUUACAUGCUUAAAUUCUUCCAAACAAAAAAAUUGCAUGCUUAAAUUGAUUAAACUUGGUGAAGAAGUGAUUAUUAUUCAUUAUCUUUAAAUAGUUCGCUUUGUUUGCUAAAAUAAAUGUUCAUGUCUAGAUGAACACUGUUGCUGUAAUUGUCACCCUUUGUGCCUUGUCCAAGCUAUUUGUUGCUGAAAAGAUCCCCCACUCCACUGUUCCAGCGUACGUCAAUUAAGAAUGAGAAUGCUGCAAGGCUGAGUUUUGAAAUUUGUAUUAGUAAUUUGGCUUUAUCCAUCAUUGAUAUAUCAAUGUUGCUUUUCUUUAUUCUGAUGUGCAUCAGCUCUUAUUCUGCAUUUUGUACUUUUAUGUCUGAACCUUCUUUUAGAUGGUGAAUUGGCAAUAGCUUGCUUCAAUGCCCACACAAACAACAAAAAGAAAAAGAACAGAAGGA
rnacentral:misc_RNA from 1 species